ACCAAAAUAAAUCAACCUCGCAUUCUCUCAGUGACCUUCGACCGGAGAACACGAUAUCUCGGAGUGUGAGAUCUUUCGUUCAUCAAUUUGUUGGCGAGAUCAAAUCUCGAAUCUGAGAGCUAGAGUGGGCUUGCUUCUCUGGAUCAUAUUUUCGAAAUAUCCCUCUCCAAACUCUAUCCCAAUGUCACUAUAGUGUCUGCUCUCUCUCUCUCUCUCUCUCUCUCUCUCUCUCAUAUUUUGAUUCAAAUAGUGCCCUUUGCUUUGCUGUUCGACUCCUGAAACAAGAAACGCAGGGCAAAGCAACCAGCGUUUCUUCCACAACAAUCCAGAGUAAUGAUGGAGGAGACUUCAAUUGUUCAUCAUUUGUAUGUUCGGAUAAGAGGAAGGCUUGUAUUAGCAGUACUAGAUAUAGGUCUUGUUAGGCUUCUGUAUUGUACUACUUAAUUACCAUCAUGUAUAAUAUUUAUAUUUAAUUGAAUAUUAAUAUUAGAUUGGUUUUUUUAUA